AGGUGUGUUGGUAAGCCUAGGUGUGUUGGUAAGGUUAGGUGUGUUGGUAAGCCUAGGUGUGUUGGUAAGGUUAGGUGUGUUGAGACUAGCUUGGUAAGCCUAGGUGUGUUGGUAAGGUUAGGUGUGUUGAGACUAGCUUGGUAAGCCUAGGUGUGUUGGUAAGGUUAGGUGUGUUGAGACUAGCUUGGUAAGCCUAGGUGUGUUGGUAAGGUUAGGUGUGUUGAGACUAGCUUGGUAAGCCUAGGUGUGUUGAUAAGGUUAGGUGUGUUGAGACUAGCUUGGUAAGCCUAGGUGUGUUGGUAAGGUUAGGUGUGUUGGUAAGGUUAGGUGUGUUGGUAAGGUUAGGUGUGUUGGUAAGGUUAGGUGUGUUGAGACUAGCUUGGUAAGCCUAGGUGUGUUGGUAAGGUUAGGUGUGUUGAGACUAGCUUGGUAAGCCUAGGUGUGUUGGUAAGGUUAGGUGUGUUGAGACUAGCUUGGUAAGCCUAGGUGUGACGGUAAGGUUAGGUGUGUUGGUAAGGUUAGGUGUGUUGGUAAGGUUGGGUGUGUUGGUAAGGUAAGGUGUGUUGGUAAG